rnacentral:rRNA from 1 species
CGGAAGAGGAUGGGCAUGCGGCGCAUUAGCUAGACGGCGGGGUAACGGCCCACCGUGGCGACGAUGCGUAGGGGUUCUGAGAGGAAGGUCCCCCACACUGGUACUGAGACACGGACCAGACUCCUACGGGAGGCAGCAGUGAGGAAUAUUGGUCAAUGGAAGAGAUCCUGAACCAGCCAAGCCGCGUGAGGGAAGACGGCCCUAUGGGUUGUAAACCUCUUUUGUCGGAGAACAAAACCCGGGACGUGUCCCGGACUGCGUGUAUCCGAAGAAAAAGCAUCGGCUAACUCCGUGCCAGCAGCCGCGGUAAUACGGAGGAUGCGAGCGUUAUCCGGAUUUAUUGGGUUUAAAGGGUGCGUAGGCGGUCCGUUAAGUCAGCGGUAAAAUUGCGGGGCUCAACCCCGUCGAGCCGUUGAAACUGGCAGACUUGAGUUGGCGAGAAGUACGCGGAAUGCGCGGUGUAGCGGUGAAAUGCAUAGAUAUCGCGCAGAACUCCGAUUGCGAAGGCAGCGUACCGGCGCCAGACUGACGCUGAGGCACGAAAGCGUGGGGAUCGAACAGGAUUAGAUACCCUGGUAGUCCACGCAGUAAACGAUGAAUGCUGGUUGUCCGGGUCGAAUGAGAUCUGG